rnacentral:rRNA from 1 species
UGGGGAAUAUUGGACAAUGGGCGAAAGCCUGAUCCAGCCAUGCCGCGUGUGUGAAGAAGGUCUUCGGAUUGUAAAGCACUUUAAGUUGGGAGGAAGGGCAUUAACCUAAUACGUUAGUGUUUUGACGUUAACGACAGAAUAAGCACCGGCUAACUCUGUGCCAGCAGCCGCGGUAAUACAGAGGGGGCAAGCGAUAAUCGGAAUUACUGGGCGUAAAGCGCGCGUAGGUGGUUUGUUAAGUUGGAUGUGAAAUCCCCGGGCUCAACCUGGGAACUGCAUUCAAAACUGACUGACUAGAGUAUGGUAGAGGGUGGUGGAAUUUCCUGUGUAGCGGUGAAAUGCGUAGAUAUAGGAAGGAACACCAGUGGCGAAGGCGACCACCUGGACUAAUACUGACACUGAGGUGCGAAAGCGUGGGGAGCAAACA